UACAGAGACUGCAAGCGUUAUUCGGAUUCACUGGGCGUAAAGCGUGCGCAGGCGGUUUUGUAAGCCAGAUGUGAAAGCCCCGGGCUUAACCUGGGAAUGGCAUUUGGGACUGCAAGGCUUGAGUGCGGCAGAGGAGACUGGAAUUCCUGGUGUAGCAGUGAAAUGCGUAGAUAUCAGGAGGAAUACCGAUGGCGAAGGCAGGUCUCUGGGCUGACACUGACGCUCAUGCACGAAAGCGUGGGGAGCAAACAGG
rnacentral:rRNA from 1 species